GGUCGCGUGGUCCAGUGGUAGGGCGCUUCGUUCACAUCGAAGAAGUCCCUGGUUCGAAUCCAGGCGCGACCA
rnacentral:tRNA from 1 species